GAUAUAGCUCAGUUGGUAGAGUGCUUGCCUUGCAUGCAGAAGGCCCUGGGUUCAAUCCCCAGUACA
rnacentral:tRNA from 1 species